rnacentral:rRNA from 1 species
GGGUUGUGAGGUUAAGCGACUAAGCGUACACGGUGGAUGCCCUGGCAGUCAGAGGCGAUGAAGGACGUGCUAAUCUGCGAAAAGCGUCGGUAAGGUGAUAUGAACCGUUAUAACCGGCGAUGUCCGAAUGGGGAAACCCAGUGCAAUUCGUUGCACUAUCGUUAACUGAAUACAUAGGUUAACGAGGCGAACCGGGGGAACUGAAACAUCUAAGUACCCCGAGGAAAAGAAAUCAACCGAGAUUCCCCCAGUAGCGGCGAGCGAACGGGGAGCAGCCCAGAGUCUGAAUCAGCUUGUGUGUUAGUGGAACGGUCUGGAAAGUCCGACGGUACAGGGUGAUAGUCCCGUACACCAAAAUGCACAGGUUGUGAACUCGAAGAGUAGGGCGGGACACGUGGUAUCCUGUCUGAAUAUGGGGGGACCAUCCUCCAAGGCUAAAUACUCCUGACUGACCGAUAGUGAACCAGUACCGUGAGGGAAAGGCGAAAAGAACCCCGGCGAGGGGAGUGAAAAAGAACCUGAAACCGUGUACGUACAAGCAGUGGGAGCACCUUCGGGUGUGACUGCGUACCUUUUGUAUAAUGGGUCAGCGACUUAUAUUCUGUAGCAAGGUUAACCGUAUAGGGGAGCCGCAGGGAAACCGAGUCUUAACUGGGCGUUAAGUUGCAGGGUAUAGACCCGAAACCCGGUGAUCUAGCCAUGGGCAGGUUGAAGGUUGGGUAACACUAACUGGAGGACCGAACCGACUAAUGUUGAAAAAUUAGCGGAUGACUUGUGGCUGGGGGUGAAAGGCCAAUCAAACCGGGAGAUAGCUGGUUCUCCCCGAAAGCUAUUUAGGUAGCGCCUCGUGAACUCAUCUUCGGGGGUAGAGCACUGUUUCGGCUAGGGGGUCAUCCCGACUUACCAACCCGAUGCAAACUACGAAUACCGAAGAAUGUUAUCACGGGAGACACACGGCGGGUGCUAACGUCCGUCGUGAAGAGGGAAACAACCCAGACCGCCAGCUAAGGUCCCAAAGUCAUGGUUAAGUGGGAAACGAUGUGGGAAGGCACAGACAGCCAGGAUGUUGGCUUAGAAGCAGCCAUCAUUUAAAGAAAGCGUAAUAGCUCACUGGUCGAGUCGGCCUGCGCGGAAGAUGUAACGGGGCUAAACCAUGCACCGAAGCUGCGGCAGCGACACUAUGUGUUGUUGGGUAGGGGAGCGUUCUGUAAGCCUGCGAAGGUGUGCUGUGAGGCAUGCUGGAGGUAUCAGAAGUGCGAAUGCUGACAUAAGUAACGAUAAAGCGGGUGAAAAGCCCGCUCGCCGGAAGACCAAGGGUUCCUGUCCAACGUUAAUCGGGGCAGGGUGAGUCGACCCCUAAGGCGAGGCCGAAAGGCGUAGUCGAUGGGAAACAGGUUAAUAUUCCUGUACUUGGUGUUACUGCGAAGGGGGGACGGAGAAGGCUAUGUUAGCCGGGCGACGGUUGUCCCGGUUUAAGCAUGUAGGCUGGUUAUCCAGGCAAAUCCGGAUAAUCAAGGCUGAGGUGUGAUGACGAGGCACUACGGUGCUGAAGUAACAAAUGCCCUGCUUCCAGGAAAAGCCUCUAAGCAUCAGGUAACAUCAAAUCGUACCCCAAACCGACACAGGUGGUCAGGUAGAGAAUACCAAGGCGCUUGAGAGAACUCGGGUGAAGGAACUAGGCAAAAUGGUGCCGUAACUUCGGGAGAAGGCACGCUGGUGUGUAGGUGAAGUCCCUGCGGAUGGAGCUGAGACCAGUCGAAGAUACCAGCUGGCUGCAACUGUUUAUUAAAAACACAGCACUGUGCAAACACGAAAGUGGACGUAUACGGUGUGACGCCUGCCCGGUGCCGGAAGGUUAAUUGAUGGGGUUAUCCGUAAGGAGAAGCUCUUGAUCGAAGCCCCGGUAAACGGCGGCCGUAACUAUAACGGUCCUAAGGUAGCGAAAUUCCUUGUCGGGUAAGUUCCGACCUGCACGAAUGGCGUAAUGAUGGCCAGGCUGUCUCCACCCGAGACUCAGUGAAAUUGAACUCGCUGUGAAGAUGCAGUGUACCCGCGGCAAGACGGAAAGACCCCGUGAACCUUUACUAUAGCUUGACACUGAACAUUGAGCCUUGAUGUGUAGGAUAGGUGGGAGGCUUUGAAGCGUGGACGCCAGUCUGCGUGGAGCCAACCUUGAAAUACCACCCUUUAAUGUUUGAUGUUCUAACGUUGGCCCCUGACCGGGGUUGCGGACAGUGUCUGGUGGGUAGUUUGACUGGGGCGGUCUCCUCCCAAAGCGUAACGGAGGAGCACGAAGGUUAGCUAAUCCUGGUCGGACAUCAGGAGGUUAGUGCAAUGGCAUAAGCUAGCUUGACUGCGAGCGUGACGGCGCGAGCAGGUGCGAAAGCAGGUCAUAGUGAUCCGGUGGUUCUGAAUGGAAGGGCCAUCGCUCAACGGAUAAAAGGUACUCCGGGGAUAACAGGCUGAUACCGCCCAAGAGUUCAUAUCGACGGCGGUGUUUGGCACCUCGAUGUCGGCUCAUCACAUCCUGGGGCUGAAGUAGGUCCCAAGGGUAUGGCUGUUCGCCAUUUAAAGUGGUACGCGAGCUGGGUUUAGAACGUCGUGAGACAGUUCGGUCCCUAUCUGCCGUGGGCGCUGGAGAAUUGAGGGGGGCUGCUCCUAGUACGAGAGGACCGGAGUGGACGCAUCACUGGUGUUCGGGUUGUCAUGCCAAUGGCACUGCCCGGUAGCUAAAUGCGGAAGAGAUAAGUGCUGAAAGCAUCUAAGCACGAAACUUGCCCCGAGAUGAGUUCUCCCUGAGACUUUAAGUCUCCUGAAGGAACGUUAAAGACGAUGACGUUGAUAGGCCGGGUGUGUAAGCGCUGU